rnacentral:rRNA from 1 species
CAGAGAAUUAUCAUACAUGCUUACGUAUGCCUUCGGGAACUCUGAGACCNGUGCUGCAUAGGCUGUCGUCAGACUCGUGUUGUGAAAUGUUGGGUUAAGUNCCGCCACGANCCGUNAACCCUUUNUCNGUUUGUUGCCAGCGGUCCGGCCGGGUAACUCAAAGGAGUACUGCCAGUGAUAAACUGGAGGAAGGUGGGGAUGACGUCNAGUCAUCAUGGCCCUUACGAGUAGGGCUACACACGUGCUACAAUGGCGCAUACAAGAGAAGCGAACUCGCGAGAGCAAGCGGACCUCAUAAAGUGCGUCGUAUCCGGAUUGGAGUCUGCAACUCGACUCCAUGAAGUCGGAAUCGCUAGUAAUCGUAGAUCAGAAUGCUACGGUGAAUACGUUCCCGGGUCUUGUACAC